rnacentral:misc_RNA from 1 species
AAGACUAUAGACCUGCGGAGUACCUGCGGAGGGAUCAUCAUUGAAUAAUAAUAAUAUCAAGCCUUUUGAGAGGGGGGAUUUCUUCUCUUAGGGGGCUUGCAAACAACUUUAAUACCCAAAAAGAUAAAUUUUCUCAAGGUUUUCAGCUUUGUUGAGCUCAUUUGUUUGAGUUUGGGUUGAUAACUGGAGAAAAGAAAAAAGAGUGAUGAGGGGAGACCCUCUGAAUUCUUGAAAUAUAAA